GCCCAAUGACCUUUACACAUGAUUUAAUAAAAGUAAACAAAAUACCGGUUGAAUGGCUGCAGUAACUAUGACUGUAUGAAUGUAGCGUAAUUGCUCGCCAUUUAAUUGAUGGAUAGUAUGAAUGGCUUCACGAAAAUCUCACUGCCUUAUAAAAUUUUAAAAAAAUUAAACUAAUAGUUAAGAUGCUAUUUAAAACUGUAAGACGAAAAGACCCUAUAAAGCUUAACUAUAACUCUUUUAUCUCAUUUAAAAAUGAAAAACUAAAAGAAAGGGUAGUUUCAUUGGGGAGAUGAUUUCUAAAAAAAAACAGAAAUUAACUAAAGUAAUAAAUAAAUUUACUGUUUAAUUCAUUUAUUUAACAGUUACAAAGUAGGUUAUAAUGACCCAUUAAAAAAUUUAAAAUACAUUUAAUGAUCAAAAAAUAAAAGCUACUUUAGGGAUAACAGGAUAAUCUUGUUUUAGAGUUCUUAUCGAAGACAAGGUUUAUCACCUCGAUGUUGAAUUGAGAUGACCUA
rnacentral:rRNA from 1 species